rnacentral:rRNA from 1 species
GAUGAACUCUGGCGGCGUGCUUAACACAUGCAAGUCGAGCGAGAAGUUUUGAAAAGAUUCUUCGGAUGAAAUUUAAAAUGGAAAGCGGCGGACGGGUGAGUAACGCGUAGGCAACCUGCCCCAUACAAAGGGAUAGCAUUUGGAAACGAAUAUUAAUACCUUAUGAAACUUAACUAGUGCAUGCUAGGUAGGUCAAAGAUUUAUCGGUAUGGGAUGGGCCUGCGUCUGAUUAGCUAGUUGGUGAGGUAACGGCUCACCAAGGCGACGAUCAGUAGCCGACCUGAGAGGGUGAACGGCCACAUUGGAACUGAGACACGGUCCAAACUCCUACGGGAGGCAGCAGUGGGGAAUAUUGCACAAUGGGGGAAACCCUGAUGCAGCAACGCCGCGUGAACGAUGAAGGCCUUUGGGUCGUAAAGUUCUGUUCUAGGUGAUGAAAACUGACAGUAACCUAGGAGAAAGCCCCGGCUAACUCCGUG